AGGACAGUUAGCAAGGGCUGCAGAAGACUGGCUAGCAGAGUGAAUCACUUCCUGCAUGGAUGGAAACUUCUUUUACAGAAGGAAAACUAGCCAGGGCUUGUGGGUGUGUUGGCUCCCGCAUGGAACCCACAAAAAAAAAAAGAAAAAAAAGGAAGUGAAGAGAAAAAGCUUGAGGGAGUGGUCACAGAGUGAAUAUGAUCAAAAUACACUGAACAUAUGUAUGAAAUUCUCAAAAAUGUCGGGAGCCAGGAAAAUUCCAUUAAAGGAUUUCUGGUGGUCCAAACCUCCGGUUUCAGUAAACAGGAGCUCCGGCCUACAAUUGUAUUGCGGAUGCUAGCUGAUUUGCCAUUGAAUAGCAUGGCCUCAGAGGAGAAUGUCCCCUAGUUUGCAUCUCUACAGAACUAAGCAUUUGAAUAGGCCUGCACCAGGGCAGAGGGCUAGGUGUGCAGGACAAGUGAAGACAGAGUUAGGAGCUACCAGGCAGGGCAGGGGUCAACUGGAGGAGAGAGAAAAUGGUCUCAUGGCAGGGAAGCAUGGUAAGAAAACAGUCAGGAAGAUGCUUGAACAAACAAGAUACUCCAGUUUUGCAGCAUGGAACUGAGAGCUCUCUAAAGAUGACAAGAUGCCUAUGUCUGGUCUUUAUCGUCUGGUUACUAGGAAUUCCCAAGUCCAUGCUCCCCCCACUCAGGCCGAACCUCAUGGCUACCAUGGCUUGGGGCUGAGACAUGCUGGGCUAUGACAAAAUGGCACCCAACGUGGGGUCUGAGAACAGGGGAAGAAGCCAUGGACACCACGAAGAAAGGGACACCAAAGAAGCAAUGGACAAGGCAGAGGCGUGGACACUUUAAAGAGGUAGUCAUCGGAGGUGAACCAGUCGGAGAAGAAGCACGCACACAGAAAAAAGAAGAAAGAAGUGGCCAAGUCUGUACUGGACUAGAACUCAAGGCCCUUCACACUCAGCAAUUGCUCUACCACUGAGCGACAGCCCCAGCCAUGAUCAAUUCAGCUUGUGGCUGAACAGAGUGCGGUUUUGUUGUUGUUUCGUCUCUGUGGUGCAGCUAUGGAAGGUGAAUGCUCCAUUACAAAGUUGCCCCGAAUUAUAGCCUGUAUGUAAGAGAGAUGUUUGAAUCUAGAACCGAUGGAGCCCAUCAUGUCACUUCUGUUCCCCUAUUCUCACCACACCUGUACACACAGGGGCUCCUGCCACACAGGCAAGGGUCUACAUGCCCCCAGCUCCCACUACAAAGCUCUUUCUCUAGAGUGGUAAGGUCCGUCUUGGCCAAACUCCUUCACCACACCCCUUCUCCUCAGUCCCCUAGCUCCCUCCCUGGCCAGGGAUGUGCUCAGAGCACUCUGGAGCCCCAGCAAGAGAGAGAAAAGGAGUGUGUGAGCUCAGUUAUAUAAGCUGUGGAAAGCGAGACCCACCCUGCUAACUGGAAGCAAGCAGGAGUCACGCAGGGCUUCCUGGAAUCCAGGCCCCAAGCUGCCAAGAAAUGGGCCUCCUUGCUUAAGAACAAUUGAAUGUCACUGGGGUAACCCAACACUGCUGGUCAGAGAGGCCUCCUGCCCACGGGCUCAGAGUGCAGCCCGUGUGAGCCAGGCCAGGCUCCAAAGGAAAGAAAGGACUUGGCAUGAUGCCCUUCAAGGCCAUCUGGGGAGAGAGAC
rnacentral:lncRNA from 1 species